rnacentral:rRNA from 1 species
UUAAAUGUGGUUGCAAAAUUGUUGAGGAAAGAUUCUAUGGCUUUAAAAUCUUAAGUCAAACCUCUUUCAGAGACAUGUAUUCUUGCUUCAGUGAUAACCUGGUUAUCCGUUUUCAUCCAUGGUAUAUAGGUGUUAUAUAUAUAUCUAUGUUUUUACUCUUCUAGGUAUGUUUUCAGGUUGCAUUUCAGAGUAAAGCUAUGACUUUGGAGCAUUUUGGAGCUUAAAGGACAUUUCAUCCGAGCUGACCAUGUAGAGGUCGACGAGAGGAAGAACAAUCGAUCGAUGCGCAUCCAGUGCUGUCGAUCGACACCAUGAGAUGCCUCGACAAAUGAAGAUUAAUAUCGAUCGAUGUACACAAGUACCAUCGAUCGAUGUCGAGACAUUGGACAUGCGACAUUUUGGAUCCAGCGGACUUGAAGCCCAAGUCCAAGCCAAAUUACGAAAAUGUCCUGACGAGUUUUUAACCUAGUAGAUUAUAUACUGCCUAAGUGUUUUGACGGCAGAGAGAGCUUUUUGUUACAGUUUUACUUUGAGAGAGAGAGAGAGUUUUGGAGAGAAGAUCACUUGUGAUUGGAACUCCUUGUUUUCAUUUCUUUUCAUCUAUACUAUGAAUUUCCAUUUCUUCAUUGUCAUGAAUUGCUUUGCUAUGUCUGAGUAGUUCAUUUAUUAGAUCCAGGGUUCAGAUAGGUUUGUGGGAUUAGCCCCAAACUAUAGAUCUGCCUUGUUGUGAUAUUCAUGAUAGAUUUGUAUUCAUUAUGUUGCAGAAUGGAUCAUAGGAUUGCAUACUCAAGCACCCUUGUUAUCCCAUCCUGACAUCUAUCUAUCAUAUUAGGACUGCUAGAGAGGGCUAACCGCCAAUUUAGUAUCUUAAUAGGGCAUAUCAUACUCGCGCAUAGGCCUGGCUAGAACCCGUCGAUCGAUGUCCUCAACUGACUAUCGGUCGAUGUAGGCAAAGGUGUAUCGGUCGACGUCCCAAUAGGACCAUCGAUCGACACUCUUUCAUUGUCAACAUACUAACCGUUGAGACACGAGAUCUAGCUUGUUAACCAGUGAAACAUGCGACAGCUGAUCACUGAGUUAAGCGGUUGAGCUCUAACAUAUCAUGCAUGCAACAAAUAGGCAUCUAUAGAUAUUAUAAUCUCCAACACCUGAAUAGUGGCCCUGCAUCUAAUAUCAUUUCCAACCAAGUUAUAUUUACUAUUUACUUCGCUUGUUACUAUUGCUAUUUCAUUUAAACAUUUACAACUCUUAGAAUUAAUAAACACUAGAUUUAAUUGUUCCCUAGCUCCUUGUGGAUUCGAUCCCUAAGUACUACAUCUGAACUCUUUUGAUGAGAGUAACACUCCUUAGGGUAAUUUGAGUGUAUCAAAGAGACCGCACGUCGCGUGGUGUUGGUGCAUUCCCGGUGGCCCUUGAAAUCUGGAGGACCGAGUGCGCUCACGCCCGGUGUACUCUAACCGCAUCAGGUCUCCAAGUGAACAGCCUCUGUCGAUGGAACAAUGUAGGCAAGGGAAGUCGCAAUAUGGAUCGUAACUUCGGAAAAGGAUUGCCUUGAGGGCUGGGCUCGGGGGUCCCAGUUCGAACCCAUCACUGUUGGCGAGCUGCUUGAGCUGCUAACGUGGCGAGCGGACCGCCUCGUGUGGCGGGGGACGGACUGGGAACGGCUCUUUGGGAUCUUUCCCCGGGCGUCGAACAGCCAACCAGAACUGGUACAGACAAGGGGAAUCCGAUGUUUAACUAAAACAAAGCAUUGCGAUGUCCCUCGGAUGCUAACGGAAUGUGAUUUCUCCCAGUGCUCUGAAUGUCAAAGUGAAUAAAUUCAACCAAGUGCUGGGUAAACGGCAGGGAGUAACUAUGACUCUCUUAAGGUAGCCAAAUGCCUCGUCAUCUAAUUAGUGACGCGCAUGAAUGGAUUAACGAGAUUCCCACUGUCCCUGUCUACUAUCCAGCGAAAGCAACAGCCAAGGGAACCGGCUUGGCAGAAUCAGCGGGGCAAGAAGACCCUGUUGAGCUUGACUCUAGUUGACUUUGUGAAAUGACUUGAGAGUGUAGAAUAAGUGGGAGCUCCGGCGCAAGUGAAAUACCACUACUUUUUUAACAGUUAUUUUACUUACUCCAGUGACUCGGAGGCGGGGUAACAAUCCUUUCUUUUAGACCCUAAGACUCGCUUCAGCGGUCAAUCCGGGCGGAGGACAUUGUUCAGGUGGGGAGUUUGGCUGGGGCGGCACAUCUGUUAAAAGAUAACGCAUGUGUCCUAAGAUGAGCUCAACGAGAACAAAAUCUCGUGUGAACAAAAGGGUAAAACUCGUUUGAUUCUGAUUUUCAGUACGAAUUCGAACCGUGAAAGCGUGGCCUGUCGAUCCUUCGAUGUCGGCUCUUCCUAUCAUUGUGAAGCAGAAUUCACCAAGUGUUGGAUUGUUCACCCACCAAUAGGGAACGUGAGCUGGGUUUAGAUCUGUCGGAGACAGGUUAGUUUUACCCUACUGAUGUCCCGCGUCGCAAUUGUAAUUCAACCUAGUACGAGAGGAACCGUUGAUUCGCACAAUUGGUCGUCGCGCUUGGUUGAAAAGCCAGUGGCGCGAAGAUACCGUGCGCUGGAUUAUGACUGAACGCCUCUAAGUUAGAAUCCGGGCUAGAAGCAACGCAUGCGCCUGCCACCCGAUUGCCGACCCUCAGUAGGAGCUUUGGCCCCCAAAGGCACGUGUCGUUGGCUAAGUCCGUUCGGCGGAAGCACCGUUCGGACCGCCUUGAAUUAUAAUUACCACCGAGCAGAGAGUAGAAACCUUUGCAGACGACUUAAAUACGCGACGGGGUAUUGUAAGUGGCAGAGUGGCCUUGCUGUCACGAUCCACUGAGAUUCAGCCCUUUGUCACUAAGAUUCGACCCUCUCCCUU